UGCUUUUAAUGUAUGUCAGAUGUGUAACUCGCAUCUUAAAUGUUUCAACAGGAAAUAAGCAAAAUGCUGAUUUAAGUUUCAAGCUGAUGAGUAAAUGCUGCCCCUACAUGAGGCACAUUCAUGUGGCUGAUUGCCAGUGGAUUACAGAGGCUGGUGUUAAGAUGACUUCACCAUUGAAGCAAAUUCUUGUACUGAAUAUGGCAGACUGCACAAGAUUUUUUAGGGUUUGAGAGCUCUUGGUUGCCAUGGAAAAAUAUUGGAACUUUCUAUAUCACAAAGCAAAAACUUCAGUGACAAUGGGAUUCAGAAGUCAAUGGCAGAAUGACUUCACUUCUAAUGAAAGGUACUUAGAGAACUGAAGUGUGGGAAGUGGAUCAAAGGAUUGGUGUACAAGCAUUGUAAUUGAGUUCUGCAAGGGCACAGAGUACCUGGAACACUGCCUUGUCUCUUACUGCCCUCAGCUGACAGAUGAAGCUGUGAAAACAUUGGCAUUUCACUGCCACAGACUGACAUCUGUCAACAUUGGAGGUUGCACAAAGGAUUAACAAGAUGCAUUCAGGGCUCUAAUUUACAGUAUCAUAUCUUCAGAAUGGCAAAACUGAAUGAAUUCAGCAAAGCAG